AAAGAAUAAUUUUAAUUUUAAAGGUGCUGAAGAGGCAAGCAGAUCUAUUGAAAAAACUAAUCCGAAAUCAUUGGAGUACGUAAUUCCUCCUCCAGAGAUAAGGGAUCUAUGCCGAGACGAAUUAAAUAUGUGUUUAGAUCUAAUCGAAGAGCAUAAACAACCAAACGCUCUACCUGAUUGUUGUUCAAGUUACAGUAUGUGUAUGUACGAUGAAAUUGUUGGCUAG